ensembl:snoRNA Gm55974 predicted gene, 26186
GUUGAGAUCUGUCGUGGGGCUUCUCCUGUAACUGCACAUUGUUGGAAACCCCUCAUAUGGUAAUUGUUUUUGUAUUGCACACAGGACUAGUUCCCAGGUCUGGGGAAGGAACUGUGGGACAGCU